GCAGCACUUGCGGUUGCAACAAGACAAACUCAUAGCAACACUUGCUGAUGACAUAGAGAUCAUCAGUACUGCUGCUGCUGCUGCUGCUGCUGCUGCUGCUGCUGCUGCUGCUGCUGCUGCUGCUGCUGCUGCUGCUGCUGCUGCUGCUGCUGCUGCUGCUGCUGCUGCUGCUGCUGCUGCUGCUGCUGCUGCUGC
rnacentral:sRNA from 1 species